GCCACUUCUUGGCGGCGCACUAUCGGGCAGGGACGUUCACCUUUCCCGUGGGAGUAGGUAGUAUGGUCCCCCCACCUCCCACGAGGAAGAAAUGGAAGCUCAGAGGGAGCACGACAAGGGCCCCACGGGCCGGAGGCGGUGGGGCUUACGCGGCCAAGCCUCGGCUCGUAACCGACCGACGGUGCUUACUGCGGUGGCUGCAGCCUAGUUAGUGUCGCGGCAGCGCUCCCCUCGCUCGGGCGUCCUCGCCAGCAGCGCCGUCCUCCGCCUGUUACAGGCCACCGCGCUGCCCAGAAUCUAGUCCGACCUCUUCAUUUUACGGACGAGGAAACACAACCCAGUGAAUGUUCACGAGUAUUGUCUUCAGUCAUGGCCUUGGGUUUAAGAUGCUUCCGCUUGGUCCACCCUGUCUUUUGUAACUACCUUGCAGCCUUGACCAGACCUAUUUCGGAAGGGACACUGAAGACAGUGAGUGGAAGACAAAAUGACCAUGAGCAAUCCAUGGCCUUUCCAGCUCUACCAGUCCGUCAUUUUGCUACCAAGAAAGCCAAAGCCAAAGGGAAAGGACAGUUCCAAACCAGAGUGAAUCUUAAUGCUGCCUUGGUUGAGGAUAUAAUCAACUUGGAAGAGGUGGAUGAAGAAAUGAAGUCUGUGAUGGAAGCACUCAAAGAUAAUUUCAAUAAAACUAUCAGUAUAAGGACCUCACCAGGAUCCCUUGACCGUAUCACUGUGGUAACUGCUAAUGGGAAGCUUGCUCUAAACCAGAUUGGCCAGAUUUCCAUGAAGUCGCCACACCUGAUUUUGGUGAAUAUGGCCAGCUUCCCAGAGUGUACAGCUGCAGCUAUCAAGGCUAUAAGAGAAAGUGGAAUGAAUCUAAACCCAGAAGUGGAAGGGACACUAAUUCGGGUACCCAUCCCCAAAGUAACGAGGGAGCACAGGGAAAUGAUGGUGAAACUGGCCAAACAGAACACCAACAAGGCCAAGGAUUCUUUACGGAAGGUUCGUACCAAUGCAAUGAAUAAGCUGAAGAAAUCAAAGGACAAGGUCUCGGAGGACACCAUUAGGCUCAUAGAAAAACAGAAUAGGCUUCUGGCACUUGUUCCUGGCUGCCCCAGGCUGCCAGCUUCCAGGCGCUGGAGUGAGUGCUGCUGGGCAUCAUGCCACCCUGCAUGCAAGGCAACUAUUCCGGGCGGGGGCAGCAGGAUCUGAAGAGUAUGUGGCUGAGUGAAGAGGGAUCAAGCAGCCAUUCUGAGUGCAGCCGCUCUGCCAGCAUGCCCAGCAGCCCCUGACACUGCUUCCUCCAGCUACAAAAAGUGCAGCUGUUGCUAUGAUCAGCCAGAUGGCUGACGAUACAGUUGCAGAGCUGGACAGGCAUCUGGCAGUGAAGACCAAAGAACUCCUUGGAUGAGAGUCCACCUGGUGCAGCGGUACUCCAGAGCCUGGUUUCUUUGGAUCCCGUGGAUGGCAAGUUGGUGCCUCUCUUCCCUGUCCACGCCGAAGGCUGUCAUCAUGCAGUUGUCACUGUGUGGCUCAACCUUCUAGAGGGACACCCAGACUUGUUCAUUCUCUUCUUCCUGCUCCCUGCCCAACACAUUCUGCUUUGGCCUUCUGCCUGGGUGGGCCUCCAGGAGUCCCUGCUGCCAGUGGAUGGCCUCUACUCAGGGUAUUUGCCCUGAUCCUGACAUUGCCAAGCGAUCAGGACCACUGGCAGGCUCAGCACCUUAUGUUUCUCAUCUCAGGAGCUGCCUUUUCAAUCAUUUGGGCCCUGUCCCCAACUUUGAUCUCUGGGCUGAUUUGGGCCUUCACCUGCAACUGGAUCCCUUUGCUACAGGCCCAUUUUUACCUAACAGUAAAAUUAAAAUAAAUUGGAAAAAAUAACCACCACAAAGGAGUGGUCCAUCUGGAUUAACAUUCUCUAAGGACCUGUGUAUCAAGCCACCAGACAAUACGUUUGCCUGGAGUCAUUGUCACACCUGCUCUUUCCUCUGCCUGGACCAUCCUGCCACUGCUGACCUACCUGGCCAGUCCUGUUCGUCCCUCGGGUCUCAGCUUGGGUAUCACCUACUUCCGUCUUCCCCAGCCUACAACACCUGUUGUCGGCUCUUAGCACUGUCCACUGCUUUUUAGCGGAACCUUCAGUAUUCUUUUUGAUAAUUAGUCCAUAGAGCUUCACUUUCCUCAGGACUUGAUAUAAUGCCUGGAACACAGUAGGCAUUCAGAUAUGUUGUGAAUGAAUUGAACGAAGUAGCCACUCAACAAUGCUGACUGCUUUUCUUUUCUUUCCAUCAUAGUACCAUCACUCUGUCACUUUCCAAUCUUGCCUUUCCCCAGGGCAAUAAUAGGGCCCGCCUAUUAUUGACAGAGGACUGGUUUGUUGUGGCUUAUCUUUUGGUUAAGUAUGGUUUUUUUCUUUAGUAAUUACCUUUUCUUUAAUAAUUACCUCAUUCUUUUCUUUCAUUAUAAUGUAGCUAUCCUAUAGCCGUAAUACAGCUAGAUACAGUUCUAGGCAGUAUCUUUAAUCUUCAUGGUAAGCUGUGAGAUGUAUAUUAUCUUCAUUUUACAAAUAGCAAAACAGACUUGACAUCAUGAGAUAACUUCCCCAAAGUGACAAGCCUAGUAAGUGAUAAAAUGUUUCGUUAUGCAUGGUCAGACUCAUUUUACAGAGAGGGAGGAGCUCAAGAGAGGUCAGAUUUCUUGCUCAGGGUGACAUAGCUCGCAAGUGGCAGAGCUGGGAUUCAAACUGAGGCCUGAUCUAAAGCCUGUGCUCUGCCCAAUGCAUCCUGCAGCCUGCAUAAACAUCUAGUGAGCACCCACUGUAUGUCAGGUACGGUGCUGCAUGCUGGGUAGACAUGUAAAAUAGAUAAGAUAUGAGGGGUACAUGGCACACUAGACCAAGUCUGUCUUUGAGGGGUGCAUGGCACACUAGACUAAGUCAUUAUCCAAAAUGUUCCGGGUGGAAGGUAGGAAGUUCAUUCCAGUUCUGCCAGAUGGCUGCUUUUAGAGAGGAACCUACUCGGGCAGCCACCAGGCCUGGCUGCAACUCCCUCGAAGCAGCAUCCAGACUUCCUGCUGUCUGACUCCUCUGAGAUCCUGCCCCUUGUGGGAGGUCUGCUCUUCUCCCUCUGCUGGUGCUGAUGGAGCACACUGUGCACAGCCGGUGGGGGUUCAGGGUCAGAGUCAGGUAAAAAAUGAAAGAAGCUAACAUAGUCUCCUGGCCUGCUUACCUGUCCUCAGUCCAACCCCAGCCCUGAGUGCCAUCACAGGAUUGGAAGUCAGCUGGGGGUAGAACAGGGAUAGAAACAGCAAUCAAGGACCCUUUUUUGGAGUAAACCACAUGGCGGGGCAUUGCAAUUGUCUUUUGUGAGUGGCCGAAAUCCCCCACUCACAGCAAAUGUACUUCUCAAAGAUGCAGGAUUUUUUAAUAAACAGAGGAAAUGAUAAAUUAUGUUGUAACUCCACUCCAAAGGCAUUUGGUUCUUAACAGCCAAAUCCUCUGUAGUCUUUAAAUAAACAAAAACUUAUUUGGUGAACAGACGGGGAGGGAGGGGGAUGGAAAAUGAAAGAUUUUCUGUACUUGGGUCCCACAUGUCAAUAAUUUCUCUCCUGUGUGUAUGUUGGCCAAAGCUGUAUAUCAUGAUAAAUGAAUAAAGGAAAACCUCGAGCCCAGGGCAGCCAGACGGCUCAGCAAAUGGCUUUCAGCUGA